CAGUGGACAGUGGACAGUGGACAGAAACACAUCUCCUUCUUCUUCCCACUCGGCUGUUCCGCCGUCCGCAUUCGUCUUUCCCCAAAUCAAAAGCAAACCCUUGCCGCCGCUACCACUGUCUUCACCAGUCAGCCACUUCUGCCACCACGACUGCCGCCCUUCAAUUGAAGAGCCCUUUCUCUCCGAGUCCCAGUUUGUUGGCCAACUUUAGAAGCAGCUACGGUAGACAUUUCAUCAGCUCCAUUGGUGGAGGGCCUCGCGAACAGGCAAAGCGAACAGGCACCAUAGCAGCGGCAGCAGCAAGAAAAUUAGAGUGAAUUGGUACGCAUUCACACUACUCAUUCGAGCUUCUUCUCCCGUCACUUGUCAACUCCUCUUAGCUCUUGGCGUCCACCUCUUUUCCGUCCAAUUCUUGGGCUCACUUUUUUCCUGUCCCUCCUCUAUCACGCCUCCCUAAGCUUAACAAGUUUAUAAUUUUCUUUUUCUUGUAAGUUUGCAGAAAGAAGAAAAACCCAUAAAGAAUCCUUGGGAUAUUUCACGUUUGCAAUUACAAUGUCUGAAGAAGAACGAGAGAUGGAUAAAACCAACUUCUUGAAUGAAGAGGAUCCGAAGUCAAAUGGGGUGAAGGGAGCUAAAUGGAAAAACAAACAGAUGAAGCGAUUACAAUAUGAGGCUAAGAAGGCUGAAAAGCGUGGGAUUUGCUAUUUGAGCAGGAUACCUCCACAUAUGGAUCCUCUAAAACUUAGACAGAUCCUCUCUCAGCAUGGAGAAAUUCAGAGAGUUUAUCUCACACCUGAAAAUCCUGCUGCUCGAGUCCAGCGCAAGCAGGCUGGUGGAUUUCGAGGACAAGAAUUUUCAGAAGGGUGGGUUGAGUUCACUAAAAAGAGUGUUGCAAAGAGGGUGGCAAAGAUGUUAAAUGGAGAACAAAUAGGUGGGAGGAAAAGGUCAGCAUUCUAUUAUGAUCUCUGGAAUAUCAAAUACUUGAGUAAAUUCAAAUGGGACGAUCUUACUGAAGAAAUUGCAUACAAGAAUGCAAUCCGAGAGCAAAAACUGGCACUGGAAAUAUCUGCUGCUAAAAGAGAGCGAGAUUUCUAUCUGUCGAAAGUUGACCAAUCCAUUGCUCUGAGUUCUAUAGAAGAGCGCAUGAAGAAGAAGCAAAAGGUUCAGCAAGAAUCAGGAGCAAAUUCUGAGAUCUCUGAUACCCAUUUUGGGCCAAAAUUAAUUCGGCAAUUUCCCCAGAAAAAACCAGUUGCAACCAACACUGAAGAAAGCAAGCCUCGAUUGUCUAAGGAUAUCUUGGCUGGAAUAUUUGGUGGUACUUCAUAAUCCAAGCCAGAUGCACGUAGCGAGGGGAAGAGAUUUAAAAUUUUUGCACGAACUGUAGUUGUUGAUUUGCCAUUCUUUUAGUUAUUGAUCAAGUUCUUGUCAAUAGUUAGCAAAACCUUGAUAUUGUAUCGUAUUUUACUGCUUUAGUUAACCUAUGUUUGCGAGGGUGAGUACAAGAAUUCCAAUUUUGCCUUUCUUUUGGGUCUGGAAAGUGCGUCAUAUCUCUAAGCAAUUUCAUUUUUGGGCUACAACUGGACAAAGUUUUAAGGUGUUCGAUUGCUUUGGAUUACAUGUAUCUUCAACGCUUUUACUCUCCCACCAGAGCUAGAGCCCAACUUAAUUCAGAGCAAGCGUGCUCCUGUUACCCUUCGACGCAUGGCAAGGGCUUCAUCACUGAUAGGUGAUUGUUAGAUUGCUACGGUCAAUCCAUUGUAUAGACUAAAAGAAUUCUCAAAAUUAAUGGUGCAUACUGCAUAGUGAUUGAUAUGAA